AGUAGAGUAAGCUAAUAAAGCUAUCGGGCCCAUACCCCGAAAAUGAUGGUUUGACCCCCUCCCCUACUA
rnacentral:tRNA from 1 species